AGUGAACGCUGGCGGUAGGCCUAACACAUGCAAGUCGAACGGCAGCACGGUAAGAGCUUGCUCUUACGGGUGGCGAGUGGCGGACGGGUGAGGAAUACAUCGGAAUCUACUUUUUCGUGGGGGAUAACGUAGGGAAACUUACGCUAAUACCGCAUACGACCUACGGGUGAAAGCAGGGGAUCUUCGGACCUUGCGCGAUUGAAUGAGCCGAUGUCGGAUUAGCUAGUUGGCGGGGUAAAGGCCCACCAAGGCGACGAUCCGUAGCUGGUCUGAGAGGAUGAUCAGCCACACUGGACCUGAGACACGGUCCAGACUCCUACGGGAGGCAGCAGUGGGGAAUAUUGGACAAUGGGCGCAAGCCUGAUCCAGCCAUACCGCGUGGGUGAAGAAGGCCUUCGGGUUGUAAAGCCCUUUUGUUGGGAAAGAAAAGCAGCAGGUUAAUACCCCGCUGUUCUGACGGUACCCAAAGAAUAAGCACCGGCUAACUUCGU
rnacentral:rRNA from 1 species